CAGAAGGUGGCGAUAGUGCGCAAUUUGUCGAACGCAAACUGCCCAUAAACAAAAGCAAAAAAGAGGAAGAAGCAGAAGAAGAAGAAAGUUUUCGACAACGCUUCCAGGACAACAAAAGGCAAGUUCGUCUCAAGAUUUCUUACACUGUGUUUAGACUGAAAUGGGACCAUGUCAGAUUCUGAACACUGGGCACACAGUGGAACCCACAGACGAGGGAGGGUGAGAGAAAUUGUGUGCCACAGACGUCUAUUCAACCUGUUGAUGGUGCUGAGGCUGUGUACCAUGCAUAACCCAACUGAUGCUCCCACACACAGAAUGGGAGCAGUUAAGGAUACCAAAAUAUCCUGAAGCUGGCCUAGUCCCUCUUUAGAAAUUAAAAACCUGCAGAGGCUUCAGUACAAGAGUGUACACAAGCAGUUGCACUGUGUUCAGUCAUCCCUCGGAUUGCAUGGCUAUCAGAAAGGCAAUGCUGAGCAGCCUUGAGACAGAUACCUGUGUCCCAUUGCAGGUUCUCUCACAGGCAAGUGAAGAGUGCUCGAGUAGGGAAGUGGGCUGAUAUAAUUUUUGGCUCUGAGGAUCUGCCAACAGGGUCUGCCCCCUUUGCCACGUUUCCAGUGUCAUCAACCAACUGUUUCUUCCUUGACCAGCUACACCACUGGGUAUUACAGUCCACCACUCCACUGCCGCACACCCAUCUCCUCUUCCAGGACUGUGUGUAUGCUCAAGACCACAACUUGUAGCAACAUGAAGACAGCUGUAGCUGCUGCUGCUGCUGCUGCUGCUGCUGCUGCUGCUGCUGCUGCUGCUGCUGCUGCUGCUGCUGCUGCUGCGGGGGCUUUCCAGGAACAAACUUGGUCAGCAGCCGACACUAUACAGCUGGAUUAAGCAUGGCCAGCCAAACACAAUCGAGAAUGGCUAUACAUGCAUAGCCAGUAUGCCAUCCUGUGAUGAUGUUAGUUAAACAAAGCCAAGGCAACCACAAGCAAAUUAAUGGACUGUAUUAUAUUAAGUGGUAUUUAAUUACAUUAUAGUCUAUGUCGUUUAAUUUUUUGUAUUGUGUUUUACUAGUCCUAUGUCUAAAGCAUUAUACACAUAUGUGCCUUUGCUACUCAAUAUUUAGGCAAUUAAUGAAGUCUACUUUGUGAUUUAUCAACUGGUUUUAUUAAUCGUGUGAACAGUUUUUAAAUAAAUCAUUUUUUUGGUAAAUGAAAAAAAUCUUAAGCAAAGUGUUUGUGUUUUAGAACAUACAAGGGACUAUCAAUGGCACAACAAAAGUUUCUAAAACACAUUUUUUUAUGAGUAUUAAUGGUUUAAAGAUAUGAGGAGAAUUAUAUGAAGAGAUCUACUUUAAAACUGAAAGUAUGCAAAAGAAAAUAACUUAUCAUUCUAGUUGUUAUAACAGCUAAAAUAAAAAAUAAAUAAUAGCAAAUAUCA